CCCUUAGAUGUUCUGGGCCACACGCGCGUUACACUGAUGAAGCCAGCGAGUAUAUCGCCUUCACCGGAAGGUGCGGGUAAUCUUGUGAAACUUCAUCGUGCUGGGGAUAGACCAUUGCAAUUAUUGGUCUUGAACGAGGAAUUCCUAGUAAGCAUGAGUCAUCAACUCGUGCUGAUUACGUCCCUGCCCUUUGUACACACCGCCCGUCGCUACUACCGAUUGAAUGGUUUAGUGAGAUCUCGGGAUUGGAGACGUUGCGCCGCAAGGCACAUCGUCCUCGAGAACUUGAUCAAACUUGAUCAUUUAGAGGAAGUAAAAGUCGCAACA
rnacentral:rRNA from 1 species